rnacentral:rRNA from 1 species
GACGAACGCUGGCGGCGUGCUUAACACAUGCAAGUCGAACGGUAAGGCCCUUCGGGGUACACGAGUGGCGAACGGGUGAGUAACACGUGGGUGAUCUGCCCUGCACUUCGGGAUAAGCCUGGGAAACUGGGUCUAAUACCGGAUAGGACCCUGGGAUGCAUGUCCUGGGGUGGAAAGCUUUUGCGGUGUGGGAUGGGCCCGCGGCCUCUCAGCUUGUUGGUGGGGUGAUGGCCUACCAAGGCGACGACGGGUAGCCGGCCUGAGAGGGCGACCGGCCACACUGGGACUGAGACACGGCCCAGACUCCUACGGGAGGCAGCAGUGGGGAAUAUUGCGCAAUGGGCGAAAGCCUGACGCAGCAACGCCGCGUGCGGGAUGACGGCCUUCGGGUUGUAAACCGCUUUCAGCAGGGAAGAAGCCGCAAGGUGACGGUACCUGCAGAAGAAGCACCGGCUAACUACGAGCCAGCAGCCGCGGUAA